GCAUUACAGCAGAUACAUGUUGUUGGAAAUUGGUUUGCACAUUUUUUUCACAUAGAAAUAGUGAAGAAGGAUGUGUUAUAUUCUGAACAGGCUAAAUUUUACAUUGCAUCAAGACUGUCCAGGCAGAGUGAAGACCUGUCGGACGCUACUAACCACUCUGCCCAAAUUGCUUCAGCUCUUUGUUCAAUCCCCAGCUAAGAAUCAUAAAUCCUGCACUCUGCGCUCUGAGCUGCUGCUCGCUGACUGGCUGGUUAGGUAUACAACUGCUGAAUAAGCCCGAACCCGAACCGUGAAGAGCGGCCGCGUCGAUUUGUUGUCUCCGGCUAUAAAAUGCGGACACUUCGCAUAUAAUACACAUCAGGUUGGUGGUGGCUCGCGACCCAUAGCCGUUGGAGUCGAACGGACCGGGGGUAUGAAUGUAAUAAAUGCCAGGUUCUUUUAUUUUUCGAGUAGGUGGCGUCAACCUUGGCCAAAUAUCGAAUCGCGCGCUGACUGAUCUGUUGUAGGUUGUGCGAGUCAAUACAUAGUGCGGAGUGUUCUAGCUGAGAGUAUAUGUGCAAACAACGCGAGAUUAGUAUAGAUGAAGAAAAAAAAAACGCGAGAUUAGUGCGAGGAACGAUGAACAGUACAGAGCUCAGUGAUUCAUUCAUGGAUCGGGCCAAAGU